AUGCAACCAAUUUAUUUCAUAAAUAAAUGAAACAAAAAUCUUUAUUGAAACUAAUUUCAAAACGUUCCUGUGCUAGCACAGAUACAAAAAUCAAAUUUCGACUAGCUAAAGGAACAUAAUAACAAUCUUUCAAAUCUAAUCUAAAAUUAGAUAGUAAUCGAAGAGAAUAAAUGCCAAUGGUCUCUACCGCAACUUUUACUCCAUUGUCAAUUCGAAGGAUCAUGUCACAUUUUUUCAACCUUCUACUUUCUAUUAGACCCUACAUUGAGG
rnacentral:lncRNA from 1 species